AUUCGAGCAGCUGAGACAGCAGCUGAAGCCAGGUCCUCCCGAAGCUUCAGGAAGCCUGCUUGAUGCUCCACGGCUGAGAGUGACAGAGAAUCCAGAAUAGCUUAUGGAUGGGUCAGUUCUCGUCUCACCACACUCCCAAUAUCCAGCUUCCUGGACUGUUGUGUAGGGAAGAGCCACUUUUUUCAGUUGAAGUCUGAGUUCUUAUGGGCCAUGACCAAGGCUGCUGCUUCCUCAAAAGGCACGAAGGGGGCCGCGUGCGGUGGCUCACGCCUGUAAUCCCAGCACUUUGGGAGGCCAAGGCGGGCGGAUCACGAGGUCAGGAGUUUGAGAUCAGCCUGGCAAACAUGGCGACACCCUGUCUCUACUAAAAAUACAAACAUUAGCCCGGCGUGGUGGCGUGUGCCUGUAGUCCCAGCUACUUGGGAGGCUGAGACAGGAGACUUGCUUGAAUGUGGGAGGCGGAGGUUGCAGUGAGUCAGAUCGUGCCACUGCACUCCAGCCUGGGUGACAAAAGUGAAACUCUUGUCUUUAAAAAAAAAAAAAAGAAAUGCAGGAAGGGAACAGGGAACAAGGCUGGGGAGGGAGGAGCCGACGGCUGCAGCAAGCUCCGGCCUCAGCCUCCCUUCCCUGCUCCUCUGAGAUGCCGAGGGCGGGGCGUACUCACUGCAAGCCUGCCAAGUAGGACCUCCAUGUCCUCUGACAUUCGAGAGAUGGAUUUUUUGGCCCUGAGAUCACGUCUCCUACUGUGUCGUCAUUCUAGCACCUGUGGGUGACUUCCUCAUGUGAGUGAGGCAUAAGCACCCGGAAUCCGGACUGGAGGCCGUCUCUGCCUCUGGAUUGCACACUGGCCUACAGACCUGGGGACAGAGUCUUUCACGAGUUGUGUAUCGUUUAACAGAAACCCAACAGUUCCACCCAAACCUCCUGACACAUUCUCGGGCUUGGGAAGUGUCCCAAAGCACCAAGGGGGUGAGACACACGCCUUGAAAAAUGGCAGUAGGCAUACUUACCUGUCUUCAUGCGCUCACAUACGAGGUGUACCUAGAACGCCCUCAUGUUAUAUUCCCAGCACUAAUGAAGCUACUGGUCAACAGCUAUUUGUUCCCAAAGAAUUUUCCCUUGCGCAGCCGCAGCCUGGAGGAAGCAGGGCGUGUGCCCUCGUCUGCUGGCGGCAGCAGUGAGGGGUGUAGCCAAGUGCCCACUUCUCUCAUUCAGCUGCUUCGGGGCAAACUGGAAAGAUCCUUUGAGCUCACAGCCCCCUGCUCAGUGCUACUCCUGAACCUGCGGGCCUGUGUGCACAGCCACCCACAGCGCGCACAACACAUGGGCCUGCCCAGGGCAACGGCACCGUCAACAGCGUGUGCCCUCGCUCAGGGCCCUGCUGGUACUACGCUUCCCAGUGUGCAGGGUUCCCAGACGUGUGUCCUCUCAUACAUUGCAUUUCCUCCCUAAGCUGCACGGGGCAACACCGUGUUAGGUCCCGCGCAUCUGCUCCUGGGCCACAUCCGGCUCCGUCUGUAUUGUUCCUGAAUUCAGUUUGCUGUCCUAGAACAAGGCAGCAGGAGGGGAGAACAGCUUUUCAGUGUCUUUAAUUAGGCAACAGGAAAAAACAAAGUCUGGCUGAAAAUUACUAUUUGAAGCUUGGCCGAUGCCAACACAGCACUCGCUCCCUGCGUUCUGGUAAGUGAUGGCCAUUGAUUUCAAGGACGUACCAAGGGGCGAAAAGCAAGAGCAGGAAGUCACCUCGCUCUGGAAAAGAAGCUGGUUUUCAUCUGCUGUAUGUGCUGGUCCCAAACAUACCCUUUUCUCUUUUUUUAGUAUUUUUUUUCCCAAUUAGGAAUUCAAUGUGGAAAACAUACCCUUUUUCUUCAACAGGCUUUUAAUGUUGGGAAGACAGGUUAAAAAAAACAACAACAACAGGCUGGCUGUGCCGGCGCACGCCUGGAAUCCCAGCACUGUGGGAGGCCAAGGCAGGCAGAUCACCUGAGGUCAGGAGUUCGAGACCAGCCUGGCCAACAUGGCGAAACCCCGUCUCUACUAAAAAUACAAAAAUUAGUCAGGCGCGGUGGUGUCGCUUGUAAUCUCAGCUACUUGGGAGACUGAGGCAGGAGAAUGGCUUGAACCUGUGAGCUGGGAUCGUGCCACUGCACUCUAGCCGGGGCGACAGAGCGAGACUCUGUCUC
rnacentral:lncRNA from 1 species